rnacentral:rRNA from 1 species
GACGAACGCUGGCGGCGCGCUUAACACAUGCAAGUCGAACGGAAAGGCCUGCUUUCCCUUGUGGAUUGCGGGUACUCGAGUGGCGAACGGGUGAGUAACACGUGAGUGAUCUGCCCCCAACUUGGGUAUAAGCCUGGGAAACUGGGUCUAAUUCCCGAUAGGACUGCAGGGUGGUGCCUGUGGUGGAAAACGAUUUUCUAGUGGUUGGGGAUGAGCUCGCGGCCUAUCUGCUUGUUGGUGGGGUAAUGGCCUACCAAGGCGGCGACGGGUAGCCGGCCUGGGAGGGUGGACGGCCACAUUGGGACGGGGAUACGGCCCAGACUCCUACGGGAGGCAGCAGUGGGGAAUAUUGCACAAGGGGCGGAAGCCUGAUGCAGCGACGCCGCGUGGGGGAUGACGGCCUUCGGGUUGUAAACUCCUUUCGACCGCGAGGAAGCCACCUGGUUGGAAGGGUGGUGACGGUAGUGGUAGAAGAAGCACCGGCUAACUACGUG